AGCUCCAAUAGCGUAUAUUAAAGUUGUUGCAGUUAAAAAGCUCGUAGUUGGAUUUCUGGUGAGAUGAAUUAUGUCUGGAUGGAAACGUCUCGUACAUGGUUUGUUUUGCCCUUCUUGUCAGGAACCCGUUGGGAUUCACUUCUCGACGGUGGAAUGGCAUCGUUUACUGUGAAAAAAUUAGAGUGUUCAAAGCAGGCAUCGCCGUUGAAUACAUUAGCAUGGAAUAAUAAGAUAAGACUUUGGUGGUCUAUUUUGUUGGUUUGCACGCCAAAGUAAUGAUUAAUAGGGAUAGUUGGGGGUAUUCGUAUUCUAUUGCUAGAGGUGAAAUUCUUAAAUUUAUGGAAGACGAACUACUGCGAAAGCAUUUACCAAGGAUGUUUUCAUUAAUCAAGAACGAAAG
rnacentral:rRNA from 1 species